UACAGAGGUCCCAAGCGUUGUUCGGAUUCAUUGGGCGUAAAGAGCUCGUAGGCGGUUUCGUAAGUCGGGUGUGAAACCUCCAGGCUCAACCUGGAGACGCCACCCGAUACUGCUGUGACUGGAGUCCGGUAGGGGAGCGUGGAAUUCCUGGUGUAGCGGUGAAAUGCGCAGAUAUCAGGAGGAACACCAGCGGCGAAGGCGGCGCUCUGGGCCGGUACUGACACUGAGGAGCGAAAGCGUGGGUAGCAAACAGG
rnacentral:rRNA from 1 species